CACGGAGUUAGCCGAUGCUUUUUCUUCGGAUACACGCAGUCCGGGACACGUCCCGGGUUUUGUUCUCCGACAAAAGAGGUUUACAACCCAUAGGGCCGUCUUCCCUCACGCGGCUUGGCUGGUUCAGGAUCUCUCCCAUUGACCAAUAUUCCUCACUGCUGCCUCCCGUAGGAGUCUGGUCCGUGUCUCAGUACCAAUGUGGGGGACCUUCCUCUCAGAACCCCUACGCAUCGUCGCCACGGUGGGCCGUUACCCCGCCGUCAAGCUAAUGCGCCGCAUGCCCAUCCUCUUCCGAUGAAUCUUUCCUCGAUCUCGGAUGCCCGAAACCGAUAUACGCGGGAUUAGCCUCCCUUUCGGAAGGUUGUCCCCCUGAAGAGGGCAGGUUGCAUACGUGUUACUCACCCGUGCGCCGGUCGCCGGCAAGGAAGCAAGCUCCCUCCCGAUCGCCCCUCGACUUGCAUGUGUUAAGCCUGCCGCUAGCGUUCAUCCUGAGCCAGGAUCAAACUCUCUGA
rnacentral:rRNA from 1 species